rnacentral:rRNA from 1 species
GACGAACGCUGGCGGCAGGCCUAACACAUGCAAGUCGAACGAAGUCUUUGGACUUAGUGGCGGACGGGUGAGUAACACGUGGGAACGUACCUUUUGGUUCGGAACAACUCAGGGAAACUUGAGCUAAUACCGGAUGAGCCCUUAGGGGGAAAGACCUAUCGCCGAAAGAGCGGCCCGCGUUAGAUUAGCUAGUUGGUGAGGUAAAGGCUCACCAAGGCUACGAUCUAUAGCUGGUCUGAAAGGAUGAUCAGCCACACUGGGACUGAGACACGGCCCAGACUCCUACGGGAGGCAGAAGUGGGGGAUCUUGCGCAAUGGGCGAAAGCCUGACGCAGCCAUGCCGCGUGAAUGAUGAAGGUCUUAGGAUUGUAAAAUUCUUUUACCAGGGACGAUAAUGACGGUACCUGGAGAAAAAGCCCCGGCUAACUUCGUGCCAGCAGCCGCCGUAA